ACAAUGGAGAGUUUGAUCCUGGCUCAGGAUGAACGCUAGCGGCAGGCCUAACACAUGCAAGUCGAACGGUAACAGAAGGAGCUAGCUUCUUGCUGACGAGUGGCGAACGGGUGCGUAACGCGUAUGCAACCUACCUCUAACUGAGGGAUAGCCCCGAGAAAUCGGGAUUAAUACCUCAUAACAUUACGAAAUCGCAUGAUUUUGUAAUUAAAACUUUGGUGGUUAGAGAUGGGCAUGCGUGACAUUAGCUAGUUGGUGAGGUAAUAGCUCACCAAGGCUACGAUGUCUAGGGGGCCUGAGAGGGUUAUCCCCCACACUGGUACUGAGACACGGACCAGACUCCUACGGGAGGCAGCAGUGAGGAAUAUUGCACAAUGGACGAAAGUCUGA
rnacentral:rRNA from 1 species